GCCAGGUGUGUUGGCACACACCUGUAAUCCCAGCUACUUGGGAGGCUGAGGCAGGAGAAUCGCUUGAACCCAUGAGGCGGAGGCUGCAGUGAGCCAAAAUCACACCAUUGCACUCCAGCCUGGGUGACAGAGCGAGACUCUGUCUCAA
rnacentral:SRP_RNA from 1 species